UCUUCUUCUAUGUAGGUUAUUUUCCCCAACAAAGACACACUUAGCUAAUUAUCCUCCAAAAUGACAUGAUUAGCAUAGUUAGGAAAAAACAUCAUAAGAACCUUGGUUAGCUCAUUAAAAUGACUAAUUUAGCUCCAAAAUGACAUAAUAAGGUCAAAAUGGAUUAAUAAUCAUAGUUGGCUACAAAAUGACAUAUUUUAUCCAAGUUAGCUCUAGAAUGACCUAUACUUAGCUAAGUUCUCUCCUAAAUGACAUAAUA
rnacentral:lncRNA from 1 species